rnacentral:rRNA from 1 species
UACGUAGGGGCCUAGCGUUGUCCGGAAUUACUGGGCGUAAAGGGCGCGUAGGCGGCCAGCACAAGUCAGUUGUGAAAUCUCCGAGCUUAACUCGGAAAGGUCAACUGAUACUGUGCGGCUAGAGUGCGGAAGGGGCAACUGGAAUUCUUGGUGUAGCGGUGAAAUGCGUAGAGAUCAGGAAGAACACCAGUGGCGAAGGCGGCUCACUGGUCCGGUACUGACGCUGAGGUGCGAAAGCGUGGGGAGCAAACAGG